rnacentral:rRNA from 1 species
UACGUAGGGUGCAAGCGUUGUCCGGAAUUAUUGGGCGUAAAGAGCUCGUAGGCGGUUUGUCGCGUCGACUGUGAAAACCCGAGGCUUAACCUCGGGCCUGCAGUCGAUACGGGCAGACUAGAGUUCGGCAGGGGAGACUGGAAUUCCUGGUGUAGCGGUGGAAUGCGCAGAUAUCAGGAGGAACACCGGUGGCGAAGGCGGGUCUCUGGGCAGUAACUGACGCUGAGGAGCGAAAGCGUGGGGAGCGAACAGG